rnacentral:rRNA from 1 species
UACGUAGGGUGCGAGCGUUUGUCCGGAAUUAUUGGGCGUAAAGAGCUCGUAGGCGGUGUGUCGCGUCGGCCGUGAAAACCUGCAGCUUAACUGUGGGCUUGCGGUCGAUACGGGCAUCACUGGAGUUCGGCAGGGGAGACUGGAAUUCCUGGUGUAGCGGUGAAAUGCGCAGAUAUCAGGAGGAACACCGGUGGCGAAGGCGGGGUCUCUGGGCAACAACUGACGCUGGAGGAGCGAAAGCGUGGGGAGCGAACAGG